CGAGCUAAUACCGCGAAAGUUGAGCGUUCACGCUUAUCGGCUGUAAAUCAAGACAGACUCAGGGGUCUGUAGCUCAGUCGGUUAGAGCACCGUCUUGAUAAGGCGGGGGUCGUUGGUUCGAAUCCAACCAGACCCACCAAUUGUCUGGCGGUAGAAACCUGAGAGGUCUCUGUAUGGGGGCAUAGCUCAGCUGGGAGAGCACCUGCUUUGCAAGCAGGGGGUCGUCGGUUCGAUCCCGUCUGCCUCCACCAAUCUUCAAUGACAAAUGUUCGAGUCAGUUGACUCGAGUCU
rnacentral:misc_RNA from 1 species